rnacentral:lncRNA from 1 species
GUGCCCCCACAGCCAUGUUAGGAACAGGAGGAGAACUUCAUCCUAAUAUGAGCAAGGUCGAAGGCCCGAUUAUAGAGAGACCGGAUGGAGGGAGAGGCCCUUACAACGGCCCUUAUGUGCCCCCACAGCCAUGUUAGGAACAGGAGGAGAACCUCGUCCUAACAUGAGUAAAGUCGAAGGCCCGGUUAUUUAGAGACUGGAUGGGGGGAAAGACCCUUGCAAUGGCCCUUACAUGCCCCCAC